rnacentral:rRNA from 1 species
CCUACGGGAGGCAGCAGUGGGGAAUAUUGCGCAAUGGGCGAAAGCCUGACGCAGCGACGCCGCGUGAGGGAUGAAGGUCUUCGGAUCGUAAACCUCUGUCAGCAGGGAAGAACGGUCACUGUGCUAAUCAGCAGUGAAUUGACGGUACCUGCAAAGGAAGCACCGGCUAACGACGUGCCAGCAGCCGCGGUAAUACGGAGGGUGCGAGCAUUAAUCGGAAUUACUGGGCGUAAAGCGCUCGUAGGCGGGAUGUCAAGUCAGGGGUGAAAUCCCCGCGCUCAACGUGGGAACUGCCUUUGAAACUGGGCAACUUGAGGGCGUGAGAGGAUAGUGGAAUUCCAGGUGUAGGAGUGAAAUCCGUAGAUAUCUGGAGGAACAUCAGUGGCGAAGGCGACUAUCUGGCCCAUAACUGACGCUGAGGAGCGAAAGCGUGGGUAGCAAACAGGAUUAGAUACCCCGGUAGUC